rnacentral:rRNA from 1 species
GUGCCUAAUACAUGCAAGUAGAACGCUGAAGAGAGGAGCUUGCUCUUCUUGGAUGAGUUGCGAACGGGUGAGUAACGCGUAGGUAACCUGCCUGGUAGCGGGGGAUAACUAUUGGAAACGAUAGCUAAUACCGCAUGACAUUGAUUAUCGCAUGAUAAUUAAUUGAAAGAUGCAAUUGCAUCACUACCAGAUGGACCUGCGUUGUAUUAGCUAGUUGGUGAGGUAACGGCUCACCAAGGCGACGAUACAUAGCCGACCUGAGAGGGUGAUCGGCCACACUGGGACUGAGACACGGCCCAGACUCCUACGGGAGGCAGCAGUAGGGAAUCUUCGGCAAUGGGGGGAACCCUGACCGAGCAACGCC